UCUGGUUGAUCCUGCCAGUAGUCAUAUGCUUGUCUCAAAGAUUAAGCCAUGCAUGUCUAAGUACAAACCUUAAUACGGUGAAACCGCGAAUGGCUCAUUAAAUCAGCUAUGGUUCCUUAGAUCGUCUCAUCCUACUCGGAUAACUGUGGAAAAUCUAGAGCUAAUACGUGCUUACAAGCCCUGACCUCACGGGAGGGGCGCAUUUAUUAGAUCAAAACCAAUCGGGGCUUGCCCCGUCUGCUUGGUGACUCUGGAUAACUUUUGUGCUGAUCGCAUGGCCUCUGCGCUGGCGACGUAUCUUUCAAGUGUCUGCCCUAUCAACUUACGAUGGUAGGUGAUAUGCCUACCAUGGUUAUAACGGGUAACGGGGAAUCAGGGUUCGAUUCCGGAGAGGGAGCCUGAGAAACGGCUACCACAUCUAAGGAAGGCAGCAGGCGCGCAAAUUACCCACUCCCGGCACGGGGAGGUAGUGACGAAAAAUAACGAUACGGGACUCUUUUGACCCCGUAAUUGGAAUGAGUACACUUUAAAUCCGUUAACAAGUAUCUAUUGGAGGGCAAGUCUGGUGCCAGCAGCCGCGGUAAUUCCAGCUCCAAUAGCGUAUAUUAAUGUUGCUGCAGUUAAAAAGCUCGUAGUUGGAUCUGAGGACUCGAAUUGGUGGUGCACCAUACGGUGUUACUGCCGAUUCGGCCUACCUAGUCGGUGCUCGCUCUUGGUGUUCUUAAUUGAAUGCCCUGAGUGCCCGGCAAGUUUACUUUGAAAAAAUUAGAGUGCUCAAAGCAGGCCAUUAGCCGGAAUACUUCAGCAUGGAAUAAUGGAAUAGGACUUCGGUUCUAUUUUGUUGGUUUUCGGAACCCGAGGUAAUGAUUAAGAGAGACAGACGGGGGCAUUCGUACUGCGGUGUUAGAGGUGAAAUUCUUGGAUCGCCGCAAGACGAACAACUGCGAAAGCAUUUGCCAAGAAUGUUUUCAUUAAUCAAGAACGAAAGUCAGAGGUUCGAAGACGAUCAGAUACCGUCCUAGUUCUGACCAUAAACGAUGCCAACUGGCGAUCCGAGAUCGUUUGCUUAUUGACCUCUCGGGCAGCCUCCGGGAAACCAAAGUUUUUAGGUUCCGGGGGAAGUAUGGUUGCAAAGCUGGAAACUGUUCAAUUGCAACUCUGCCUGUGACACCAAGUGGUCGGGUUACUUGGUCUGUUCUGGCCCGGAGUCGGUAGGGUUUCCGGCCUUGUGCUCUUUCCUUACUGUUCUCUGUAACGCCGAAGGCGGGGCUUCCACGGUGGGGAAGCGGUUGUACAAAUCCGGCAAAUCCAGCCAAAUGGGUUCCGGACUCUGUCCAACCUGCAACUGGUAACAGCCUCGGCUGGCUAACAUUUGAGCUGGGACUCGCUUGGGAGGAGCGAGGAUAAUAUAAACCUCUAUGUGACUGAGGUGAGGAAUCUGGUUCUCGUAAAAUGGCUGGAGAUCCCGAGCCUGUAAGUCAUAAAUUAGUUCCCCCACGAGGGGAGUGUCGAAUUGAAGCCAGUGCGUGCCCUUACUAGUUUAAGGGAUUGUAUACUUCCUUUGGUGUACCCACCUGGAAGUGCCCAAGGGGUCCUAUCCCUGCACU
rnacentral:rRNA from 1 species